AACGAACGCUGGCGGCAUGCCUAACACAUGCAAGUCGAACGAGACAUUCGGGUCUAGUGGCGCACGGGUGCGUAAAGCGUGGGAACCUGCCAUUAGGUUCGGAAUAACUUCCUGAAUGGGGUGCUAAUACCGGCUAUUGUCCUCGGACCAACGAUUUAUCGCGUUUGGGUGGGCCCGCGAUGGAUUAGCUUGUUGGUAGGGUAAAAUCCAAUCAAGGGAUGGUUCCAUAGCUGGUCUGAGAGGAUGAUCAGCCACACUUGGAGUGAGACACGGCCCAGACUCCUACGGGAGGGGGCAAGGUAGGAUAUUGGACAGUGGGCGAAAGCCAGAUGCAUCUAGGACGCGUAAGUGAUGAAUGCCUGAGGGUUGCAAAGUUCGUUUACCCGUGAUGAUAAUGACGUUACCGGGAGAAUAAGCACCGGCUAACUCCGUG
rnacentral:rRNA from 1 species